rnacentral:rRNA from 1 species
UGUAGUCUCGCACAGAUGCAUAUCAAUAAGCGGAGGAAAAGAAACUAACAAGGAUUCCCCUAGUAACGGCGAGUGAAGCGGGAAGAGCUCAAAUUUGAAAUCUUAAAGGGUUUCCCUUUACGAAUUGUAGUUUAAAGAAGUGUUUUCUGUUGAGGUUUUGGUAAAAGUUCUUUGGAAUAGGACAUCAUAGAGGGUGAGAAUCCCGUAUUUGACCUUUACUUUCAACUUUGUGAUACACUUUCAAAGAGUCGGAUUGUUUGGGAAUGCAGUCCAAAAUGGGUGGUAAAUUUCAUCUAAAGCUAAAUAUUGGCGAGAGACCGAUAGCGAACAAGUACCGUGAGGGAAAGAUGAAAAGAACUUUGAAAAGAGAGUUAAACAGUACGUGAAAUUGUCAAAAGGGAAGCGUUUGACACCAGUGUUGUUUUUCUGAAAAUCAAUUAAAGAACUGUUUAUGCUAAGCUUGUUUAGACUUUAUCAGCUAUCUGUUUAGUUUUGAGCUUUUCUUUAAUGCACUAUUUCAGUUAACAAGUCAACAUCAAUUUCUUUUGCUGUAAAAAAGCUUGAGGAAGGUGGCUUGAGAUUCGUCUUAAGUGUUUAUAGCCUCUUGCCUAUGCAGUCGGAGAGAUUGAGGUCUGCAGCGUAGAUCCUUCGGGGCUAAAUGCAUUUGUGCUAAGUUAUAGCAUUUUAUAGACAACUUGUUGACUAUGAUUUGUCUUGUAGCUUACUCGCUUAUGUUAUUUUACCUACGCUUAGGAUGUUGACGCGCGUGUGUGCGUG